GGGCCUGAUUCAAGUAAUCCAGGAUAGGUUUGUUCAGACAAGCGUAGCCUAUUCUGGACGACUUGGUUCAGGAAC
rnacentral:pre_miRNA from 13 species